rnacentral:rRNA from 1 species
UACGUAGGUGACAAGCGUUGUCCGGAUUUACUGGGCGUAAAGGGCGCGUAGGCGGCCAGCACAAGUCAGUUGUGAAAUCUCCGAGCUUAACUCGGAAAGGUCAACUGAUACUGUGCGGCUAGAGUGCGGAAGGGGCAACUGGAAUUCUUGGUGUAGCGGUGAAAUGCGUAGAUAUCAAGAGGAACACCUGCGGCGAAGGCGGGUUGCUGGGCCGACACUGACGCUGAGGCGCGAAAGCGUGGGGAGCGAACAGG